GAGAGAGGGUUAUUUCGUGAGGUGGGGUUUUAAAAUUGCUCUAUUAUUGUCACAUGUACAAGAAAAAUGUAAAAGAUGCUUAACUUUUAUCUAAAGAGAGAGGAAUGUGUAGUUAUUUCUAUCAAUAUUUGGGUCAUGUGAGCUGGAUUGCCUAUCAUCAAGGGUGUGUGCUGGAUUGCCUAUGAUCAAGGGAUAAUUACACAAGGGAUAAUUAUGCGCAUUUUAGGAUUUCCUUCCUAUUUGUACUCUUCUGUAUAUGGCAUGUAUUGGACUCAUAUUUCUAUGGGAGGUAUUGAGAGGAGGAUAUAAUAAAAAGGAUACAACUUCCUUCACCGUUGAUGUAGGCCCUUUUCUGGCCGAACCAUGUUAAAUCGCUCUCAUUGACUUUCUUCCUCAGUCCUUAAUAUGGUAUCAAAGCCAGGUUCCACAUCCUUGAACACCGGAAAUUUUUUUCGACGAUUAAAAGUUCUUGUUCUGACUACCACCAAAUCGCAGAUUUUUCCACCAGGACUCUUUUUUUACAAAUCUCGCUGUCAUGUUUGAGAACUCCUCUAAUUACUUUUAGAGAGAGAAAGGUUGUGUAAACGAAACUUGAUCUUCUCUCGCGCUGCUCAUCUUAUGCUCUUCCAGAGCAUCACUGAAAGUUUUUUUUUUAGGCAUCAACUUGCCUCUUACAUAGCUCGAAUUUUUCUUUUGUGGUGGUACCUCCAAUACUCAUAGGCUUAUUGGGUAUUUUGGACUUUCUUUUCUAAUCCUCUAUUGGUAUGAUCUAUUCUCAUCCUCUUUAUUAUUAAGGAUCAAGGAAGAAAGUUAAGGAGAGCGAUUUAACGUGGUUCGGCCAGAAAAGGGUCUACAUCCACGGUGAAAGGAGUUGUAUCCUUUUUAUUAUAUCCUCUUCUCAAUACCUCCCUUACAAUAUAUAUAAAUAAGAGUCAAAUACAUGCCAUAUACAGGGGAGUACAAUAGGAAGGACAUCCUUGAAUGCGUGUAAUUAUCCUUUGAUGAUAGGCAUUCCAGCACAGACCCUUGAUGAUAAGCAAUCCAGCUCACAUGACCCGUUCAACACUCCCCCUCAAGUUGGUGCAUAGAGAUUGAGGGUGCCCAACUUGCUAAGAUCAAAGAGAAACUUGUCUUUCCCAAGAGCUUUGGUGAAGAUAUAUGCAAACUGAAUUUCUCUUGUAACAUAAGGGGUACAAAUAACUUUGUCUUGGACCUUUUCCCUGACAAUCAACUUCAAUAUGUUUAGUUCUUUCAUGAAAAACGAGAUUAGUGGCCAUGUGGAUAGCAGCUUGGUUAUCACAAAAUAACUAAAUUGGCUUAGUUGUCUUGAAGCUCAAGUCUUGGAGAAGAGAUUUCAACCAAAUAAGUUCACAUGUGGUAGAAGCCAUGGCACGGUAUUCAGCCUCAUCACUAGAUUUGGCCACCACAUUUUGUUUUUUACUUUUCCAGAGUCCACCCUUCUCCAUCUCUCACAAGAGCCAUCUCUGAGAAGCCCUCUCUCCGCCAUCUCUCCGCCCUCUCUCACACAAAGUGCCCUCUCUGCCAUCUCUCACACAAAGCGCUCUCUCUCUGCCAUCUCUGAGAGGCAGUCCUAGUUCCUCUCUGAGAAGCAGUUCUCAAAGAGCCCUCUCUUCGCCAUCUCUCACGCAAAGAGCUCAAAAAAUCUAGUUUUUGGGGGAAUCAUCAGUAGGUCAAGCUCCAUUCUGGCCUUUUUCGAGUCACCAACCUCCCACCGUCCAUUAACAGGUAUGGUUUUUUAUUUUUUAUUUUUUAUAUACCUAUUUCUUUUGCUCGAAAAAUUAGGGUUUCUCUGUGUGAAGAUCUUUUAAGAUCCUGUGAUAUUGGUUGGUAUCGUUUUUUUAGUGCAAAAAAUGCUUGAUUUGGUUUAUCAUCUGUGGGAGAAAUCCUCACAUUCUUCUUUUCCCCUUUUCCUUAGGGGAAGAUUGAAGCCCCUAUUUUGAUAGAAAAAUGCACCUUUCAAUUUAUUUGGUUGAAAAUCUAUGCUUUACGGUGAUUUUGAUUUAUUUUUAUGAUUUUUGCAUACCAUUUUGUUUAGUGGUUUUGUAUCAGCCCCUUUCAAUAAUUGUCUGAUAUAUGGAAAACAUCCUUAUGUUUGUACUUCUUUUGUGUGUAUUUUUAUUACCUACUGAUUUGUGUUCUUUUUCCGUGCUUUUUUUGUUCUUAUACAAGGGUGUUUAUCUUUCGAAAUUUUUAUUCUAAGUUCCCUUCUUGCUCUCUAUAAUGGGUAUUAUUCGAGAAAUCUGUAUGGUAUGUUAUGCAUCGAUAUAAAAGCCAUUCAGGCUUGUCCUAACUGCUCUAUAUUAUCUUGGACAACUGUUCCUGCUUUGUCGCAAAUACAUUUGGUAUAUUUAUUGAUUUACAAGGAACCUUUUUACCAGAGAAGCAUAGUGUUUUCGUAGUGGUGAUUUUUGUGAAUGGUACGCUAAAUUUUUAUUGUCUGUAAUACCCAAAAAAAAUUGUUAUCUGAUGCCUUGCACCAUAUGCAAAUCGUAAUUUCAAUGGUGGUCUUAGUAAAUGGGGAUCUCCAUGCGUGUGGCCCACCAUUAUCUCUUUGGUAUGCUUAUCUCAUUUUCUAUUCAAAUGUCAAUAUUUGGGCUGUAAAAUUAUUGUUUUUGCAUCUUAGAGAGAGAGCGAGAGCACACAAAUGUUGUGGCCAUUAUAAACUUAGCGAGAGAGAGAGAGAGAGCACACAAACGCUGUGGGCCAUUAUAAUCUUAGCGAGUGAGAGAGAGAGAGCACACAAAUGUUGUGUGCAUGACUUGUGAAUGACAUAUAUUUUUGAAUUAUGAAUGGUGUAUAUUUUUUAGGCUGGGAUACAGAUGCAUCAGUGCUGAAUGUAAGUAGUUUACGGGUUAUUCUUAACUUCCCAUGAGGUAGUUUACGGGUUAUUCUUAACUUCCCAGGUGGUUAUCAAACACGGAAGCCAAGAACUUCUUAACUUUCCAUGGAGUUUAUCAAACACAUAACUUCUUCAGGCACUUCAAUUUAAAGUUAUUCUGGAACUUCGAAUUUACCGUUCGUGAAUUUGCUUCCAGUUGGUUCUAAAUGUCAUGGCCUUUUCUCUCUCUCCACCAAUAUCUCUAAUAUAGAUCUGUCGUUAGUGAGUUGCGUUCCAUUUCUCAUGAUUCGUUUUUGCUGCUCUCUCUAACCUUCUGCCACUCUAUCAUAUAGAUCCAUUUUUGUGUGGUUUCUCCAAUUAUUUAUAUGAACCUCAUAUACAUACUUGCUCUCUCUCAUUUAUACGUGGGUCACUAAUUUCUCAUUUAUACAUGGAUCACUAAUUUAAUGGGUUGUUAUGUUCACAUAAUCCUCGCUACAAUAUCUGGAGCCAUCUUUUCUUAAAGAUUGCACUGGAGAUAGAGGGUCUUUGAUUCAGUGGCGAGAUCGUGAUUUGUACCUCAGAACUAGGCCAUGGGUGGUGGGAUUAUGCCUGGCUCAAUACCGGAGGCCAACCGCUAACUCAACACAUUAUGUAUCUCAUUCUUCAUGCCUUGGCACCAUUCUUGUUUAUCCCUGGGUUAUAGACAUUACUGAUGCUAUUAUUGGUCAUAUUCUUGAAAGAAAUGUGCAUUGAAAUGCCUUUUUUGUCAAUAUAAUUCAUGUAUUCGAUAA